rfam:Ceraceosorus bombacis genome assembly, contig: Scaffold_266
GGGUCCUUGGUGAAGGGGUAUCAUCUCUGCUUCGGGAUUUAAAAACCGAUGAAUUUGCAGGUGGCCCGGGUUCGAGUCCCGGAGGACCCC